GCUUUGAAUAAUGAGCUGUUGGUUCUGGCAAGGCUGGGAAGGCAGAAGCUCACCUCGGAGUGAGAGAGAGGGAGAGAGAAAUAGAGGUAUUUUGCAUCAUGAGCGACCCUUUCUGGCCCAUACACUGGAGUGAAGCUGAUGGGCUCUCAAUGGACCUUUAUCCAGCAUCUUGCCUAGAGAUCAGAUCACUCAAGCCCUUUUAAUGAAGGAGAUCACCGAGCAAAGAAUCUCCCUGGAGCUCUUCAGAACACCCCAAAAUCAGAACUAAGCUGCAUCAACAAGACUCUUUGCAAAUAAGAACUCCUUUGAUGCAAUGAGAGAAACUAUGCUGUGCCUCACUGGAGGUGUAGCCAAUUUAUUCGAAAACAAGCCAGUCCAGUCCAUACAGCCUCAGGCUGUGAUCUCAACUCACCACAUGAGCUAUGGUCAGCUGUUGGAUGAGAGAGCUCUAAAGUGAAAGUCCUCUUAUUCUUGCAUUAUGGAAUAGAAGAAACAGAUGUGUCUGAUAAAGCUUUAUACUGACAGUCAAAGAAGAACGUCAUUCACAUUUAUUCAAUUUACCUGGUACAAAAUCCACUUUCAUUACAAACUCCAAUGGGUACUGACACACUCUGUCUAGGAAACUCUGGUCUAAU